rnacentral:rRNA from 1 species
AUGAACGCUGGCGGCGUGCCUAAUACAUGCAAGUCGAGCGAACGGACGAGAAGCUUGCUUUUCUGAUGUUAGCGGCGGACGGGUGAGUAACACGUGGAUAACCUACCUAUAAGACUGGGAUAACUUCGGGAAACCGGAGCUAAUACCGGAUAAUAUUUUGAACCGCAUGGUUCAAAAGUGAAAGACGGUCUUGCUGUCACUUAUAGAUGGAUCCGCGCUGCAUUAGCUAGUUGGUAAGGUAACGGCUUACCAAGGCAACGAUGCAUAGCCGACCUGAGAGGGUGAUCGGCCACACUGGAACUGAGACACGGUCCAGACUCCUACGGGAGGCAGCAGUAGGGAAUCUUCCGCAAUGGGCGAAAGCCUGACGGAGCAACGCCGCGUGAGUGAUGAAGGUCUUCGGAUCGUAAAACUCUGUUAUUAGGGAAGAACAUAUGUGUAAGUAACUGUGCACAUCUUGACGGUACCGAAGCAGAAAGCCACGGCUAACUACGU